rnacentral:lncRNA from 1 species
CUAUAAAGAAUGCCAUGUAUUUUUACUAGAACACAGAUGACAAGUAUGUACAUUUAAAUCUCCAAUUACCCACAUACAACUAGGAAAACAUUUACAAGGGUUUAGAUAGGCAACUAAACAAUCAGGUUAAAAAAAAACCAAAACCAGUUAGAAAAACUAAGGCUCACCAAUUUCAAAGGAACAAAACCAGAAAGCACUCAAGCCUUAAAAAAAUGAAACAAAAAUUUCAAGCUAAUGCCUAAAUUUAAUUAGGUAUCUUGCUUGUAACAAAAACCAACAGCUAUCCAAGCUUAGAAGCCACACUGUAAAUAAAAUGUCAAAGAAGUUCUGACAAAUGUUUUUCAAAAUGCAAAUCAGAACUAAAAUUAUUGGCACAGAAAGCAAAAAGGGAAUGAGGGAAAAAAGCCUGUACAGUUUCCAAAAUGGUAUCUUGUUCUUCUGAAGAAAUAUUUUUGACCUGUCAAAACACGUAGUCCAGUAGAAAUCUAUCUUAAAAAAAAAACCCAACCCUCUACUUCUAAAAAAUGAACCUCCAGAAAAAACAAUUUCUGUUGCUAAAGCACUGCCACCCCUAAGUCACUACUUGUUGGUUUUGUCUUUCAAGGUAAAGGACACAGCCUUAAGAUAGUAUUUUCAACGUUACUUAUAAAAAUCAGUAUUUGAAAGAAAUACAGUAUUUCCUCACAGACUACUUUGUCCUUUCAUCAGCAAAAAGAGGUGAAAUACCAUUGAACAAACAUCAAAGAGCACAGCAGUAGCCAUCAUGGCAUCAUCACCAGCCCGUAAGUUACCAAACUGCUAUUUCCUGAGCGUGCACAGGAAAUCGCCAGCAACAUUUAGUAAACCAAAACCCAGUAAAAAUUCUACUACAGAUGCAGUUAUACAUGAUGUGCAUUAGGCAUAUUCCUUUUUGGUGUCUAUCAGGGUCUUUGGAUUUUUUUUCUGUACACUUUUUUUUUGUUCCAUUAAAAAAAUUCUAACAAAUGAAACUCACAAUAACAAGAGAGUAUUAUCUAAAUUGCAACACAGUACAUUUAUCAGUUAAAUCUAAGUAUUCGGAACAGGCAGAAAUAAGGGGCUUAAUAUGGGGAUCUCACUUCUCAAUUCACAAUGAUGACUCAGUUUAACUCAUGUUAUUUCCCCCCUGCUAUUCCCUCCCUGCUAUUUCCAUUGCCAGCAAUGGAAAUCUAUAUGCGAGUGAGAAAUUACACUCUCUGUAAAAAGAGCAACAAUCUCCUUAAAUCUAUUUCAAUGUGGAGUAAAAUAUCAGUUCCUGCAUGAAAUGCUUGUAAAUUUACUUUUUUAUUUUAAGAUAUCUAUGCAAUGGAACAUUACUUACCUGCUGCCUCUCCAGUAUUAGCUAUUCCCCAUGUAUCAGCUACAGGCAGGUUAUUUCUUCCUUAAACUUAUUACACAUAGCAAUAAACAAUGUUUUUAAGAAAAAGUUACAACAGUAACUUGGUUUGUAACCAAGACCUAUUCACAAAAAGCAGGAAAUGAGUCAUGACUCGUUUGAUACAACUUUCCGUUUUACAAAAUUUUAAAAGGCAGUUUUCAUUUCCAAACAGGAUUAAACACGUCAAAUAUCUUCUCAGUAGCAAAUAGUUCAAUAAACACCAGUGAUCCCAUGCAUGAGGAACUGAAGUACACAAUUUAGGGGAAAAAAAAAUUGGGGGGAAGAGUCUGAAGCUGUAGCCAAGUCCAACAGCAUCAACCUGGCUGCAGGAAACCUGGCCAAGUGAUAGGUGACAAAAAUAUCAGAGCAUUUCAGACUUAUGCAAAACUUCUGCAGUUGCACAGGCUACUGGUCCCAACUCAGUAAAGCAUAAAAAUCACUGAUGUAUGCAAAGAAGGUACUUAAAGCGUAUGUUUACAUUCCUUGAAAUCUAUGGAACGUAAGCACACACUUUAAAUGCUCUGGAAAACCAAACUGAUUUAAGUGCUUUCCUGAACAGGGUUAACAUCUUAGGUCAGCUGUAAAAAUCUUCAAAAUCGGAAAAAAAAAAAAAAAAAAA